GAUGAACGCUGGCGGCGUGCCUAAUACAUGCAAGUCGAGCGGACAGACGAUGCUUUCGCUCCUCUGAUGUUACGGGCGGGUGAGUAAGUCGUACGUGAUUAACCUCCCUUUAUGGCUGAAGUCAGUUCAGGAAACCGGAGCUAAUACCGGAUACAAUGUUGAAGCGGAUGGGUCGACAGAUAAGGUCCGGCUUGCUGUGACUUAUCGAUGUAUCCGCGCCGCAUUAGCUAGAUGGUAUGGUAACGGCUUACCAAGGCAACGAUGCGUAGACGAGCUGAGAGGGUGAUCGGCCACACUGGAACUGAGACAAGGUCCAGACUCCUACGGGAGGCAGCAGUAGGGAAUCUUCCGCAAAGGGCGAAAUCCUGACGGAGCAACGCCGCGUGAGUGAAGAAGGUCUUCGGAUCGUAAAGCUCUUUGAGUUGGGAAGAACAAAUGUGUAAGUAAAUAUGCAUGUCUUGACGGUACCGAAACAAAAAGCCACGGCUAACUACGUG
rnacentral:rRNA from 1 species